UUAAGUUAAUAAGGGCGCACGGUGGAUGCCUUGGCACUAGAAGCCGAAGAAGGACGUGACAAACGACGAAAUGCUUUGGGGAGCUGUAAGUAAGCGCUGAUCCAGAGAUGUCCGAAUGGGGGAACCCACUAACUAAUGGUUAGUAUCCAUAACUGUUAAGGUUAUGAGAAGGAAGACGCAGUGAACUGAAACAUCUAAGUAGCUGCAGGAAGAGAAAGCAAACGCGAUUGCCUUAGUAGCGGCGAGCGAAACGGCAGGAGGGCAAACCGAAGUGUUUACACUUCGGGGUUGUAGGACUGCGACGUGGGACUUUAAAAGGAUAGAAGAAUUACCUGGGAAGGUAAGCCAAAGAGAGUAAAAGCCUCGUAUUUAAAAUUCUUUUGAGCCCUAGCAGUAUCCUGAGUACGGCGAGACACGUGAAAUCUCGUUGGAAUCUGGGAGGACCAUCUCCCAACCCUAAAUACUCUCUAGUGACCGAUAGUGAACCAGUACCGUGAGGGAAAGGUGAAAAGCACCCCGGGAGGGGAGUGAAAUAGAACCUGAAACCGUGUGCCUACAACAAGUUCGAGCCCGUUAAUGGGUGAGAGCGUGCCUUUUGUAGAAUGAACCGGCGAGUUACGAUAUGAUGCGAGGUUAAGUUGAAGAGACGGAGCCGUAGGGAAACCGAGUCUUAAUAGGGCGAUUUAGUAUCAUGUUGUAGACCCGAAACCAUGUGACCUACCCAUGAGCAGGUUGAAGGUGAGGUAAAACUCACUGGAGGACCGAACCAGGGCACGUUGAAAAGUGCUUGGAUGACUUGUGGGUAGCGGAGAAAUUCCAAACGAACUUGGAGAUAGCUGGUUCUCUCCGAAAUAGCUUUAGGGCUAGCGUCGAUGUUAAGUCUCUUGGAGGUAGAGCACUGUUUGGGUGAGGGGUCCAUCUCGGAUUACCAAUCUCAGAUAAACUCCGAAUGCCAACGAGAUAUCAUCGGCAGUCAGACUGCGAGUGCUAAGAUCCGUAGUCGAAAGGGAAACAGCCCAGACCACCAGCUAAGGUCCCAAAAUAACUGUUAAGUGGAAAAGGAUGUGGGGUUGCACAGACAACUAGGAUGUUAGCUUAGAAGCAGCUAUUCAUUCAAAGAGUGCGUAAUAGCUCACUAGUCGAGUGACCCUGCGCCGAAAAUGUACCGGGGCUAAAACAGUUUACCGAAGCUGUGGAUGACACAAAAGUGUCAUGGUAGGAGAGCGUUCUAUGUGUGAAGAAGGUGUACCGUGAGGAGCGCUGGAACGCAUAGAAGUGAGAAUGCCGGUAUGAGUAGCGAAAGACAGGUGAGAAUCCUGUCCACCGUAAGACUAAGGUUUCCAGGGGAAGGCUCGUCCGCCCUGGGUUAGUCGGGACCUAAGGAGAGACCGAAAGGUGUAUCCGAUGGCCAACAGGUUGAUAUUCCUGUACUAGAGUAUAUAGUGAUGGAGGGACGCAGUAGGCUAACUAAACCGGACGAUUGGAAGAGUCCGGCUAAGCAGUGAGGUGUAAGAUGAGUCAAAUGCUUAUCUUUAUAACAUUGAGCUGUGAUGGGGAGCGAAUUUUAGUAGCGAAGUUAGUGAUGUCACACUGCCAAGAAAAGCUUCUAGCGUUUAAUGAUACUCUACCCGUACCGCAAACCGACACAGGUAGUCGAGGCGAGUAGCCUCAGGUGAUCGAGAGAACUCUCGUUAAGGAACUCGGCAAAAUGACCCCGUAACUUCGGGAGAAGGGGUGCUGACUUAGGUCAGCCGCAGUGAAUAGGCCCAAGCAACUGUUUAUCAAAAACACAGCUCUCUGCUAAAUCGUAAGAUGAUGUAUAGGGGGUGACGCCUGCCCGGUGCUGGAAGGUUAAGAGGAGGGUUUAGCGCAAGCGAAGAUCUGAAUUGAAGCCCCAGUAAACGGCGGCCGUAACUAUAACGGUCCUAAGGUAGCGAAAUUCCUUGUCGGGUAAGUUCCGACCCGCACGAAAGGCGUAAUGAUUUGGGCACUGUCUCAACGAGAGACUCGGUGAAAUUUUAGUACCUGUGAAGAUGCAGGUUACCCGCGACAGGACGGAAAGACCCCAUGGAGCUUUACUGCAGUUUGAUAUUGAGUAUCUGUACCACAUGUACAGGAUAGGUAGGAGCCAUUGACUUCGGGACGCCAGUUUCGAAUGAGGCGUUGUUGGGAUACUACCCUUGUGUUAUGGCUACUCUAACCCAGAUAGGUUAUCCCUAUCGGAGACAGUGUCUGACGGGCAGUUUGACUGGGGCGGUCGCCUCCUAAAGAGUAACGGAGGCGCCCAAAGGUUCCCUCAGAUUGGUUGGAAAUCAAUCGCAGAGUGUAAAGGUAUAAGGGAGCUUGACUGCGAGAGCUACAACUCGAGCAGGGACGAAAGUCGGGCUUAGUGAUCCGGUGGUACCGAAUGGAAGGGCCAUCGCUCAACGGAUAAAAGCUACCCUGGGGAUAACAGGCUUAUCUCCCCCAAGAGUUCACAUCGACGGGGAGGUUUGGCACCUCGAUGUCGGCUCGUCGCAUCCUGGGGCUGUAGUCGGUCCCAAGGG
rnacentral:rRNA from 2 species